CACGUAGGGGACGAGCGUUGUCCGGAUUCAUUGGGCGUAAAGCGCGCGUAGGCGGCUCGGAAAGUCGGUCGUGAAAUGCCGGGGCUCAACCCCGGGACUGCGUCCGAUACUCUCGAGCUGGAGGCAGGUAGGGGAGAUCGGAAUUCCUGGUGUAGCGGUGAAAUGCGUAGAUAUCGUUUGGAACGCCAAUGGUGAAAACAGGUAGCUGGGAGUGUGCCGACGCUGAGACACGAAAGCCAGGGGAGCGAACGGG
rnacentral:rRNA from 1 species